rnacentral:lncRNA from 1 species
AUGAGAGUCCACGGAGGCCAACCACAGAAAGAAUCACAUGGACUUAAUCGAAGGUAUCUGGAGAGAGUUUUUAGAUCCUUACGAUGGCGAUUCGGACGAUCCCCCCCGUCAUCCCGCCUCCGGCUUCAGCGACUGUCCUCGGGGGGCCGUGAGCCGUCCGGGGUCUCCGCGCGCACUCAGGAGCGGGGGCCCCGGAGGAACCAGCUCGGAGGAGCCCCCCGCGUCGAAGCCCCCAGGCCGCCCGAGCCGGGGCCCCGCGCCCCUGGAGGCCGACGACGUGGACAUGCAGCCCGCGGAGGCCGGCAGCCCCCAGGCCCGGGGGCGGGCGGCCAGGCGCUCGGGGGUCCCCGGACGAGGACUGCGGGAUGUGGGAGGACCGCUGGCCCCGGGCGCCCGGCCCCCUCCUCCCCGCCGCGGGGCCCCCCGAGCCUGGCAGACACGCGCAGGGCCGCGGCAGAGCGGCCCGGCCACCCCCCAGGCUCGGCAGCGAGAAGGACAAGGGGCCCAAGCUCACCCUCUCCAAGAGGAAACUGGAACUUUUACUUGCGGAGCCUGAGAAAACGAAGAGAAAGAGGCAGUAUGUGGCCCAGAGCGAGGUGAGCAGGGGGAGCCGGAGGGGCGCCCACGCCCCGGGGAGCCCUCGGCCAGGAGUCCGGGGGCUUCGGUUCUCAUGAAGCACCUGCGCGUUUUAGGCCUUAGAUACGAACACUGGGUGCCCCCACUUUGCUUACAGAUGGGUUUCCAACUGAGGACAGCCCUGUGUGGCCCUCGUGGGACCCACCUCUAAAUCCGAGAAUUCCCUUACUUUUACUAAGUAUUUAUGUAUCCGCAGAACUAGUGGUUUUCACACCCUGACUCCUGCUGCCCCUUGUUCUUGACCCUGAAUGUCUGCUGGGCUGGGGGUGGGGGGUGUCCCGCUCUGGGGGUGCUGACACAUGGAGGCCUGUAAGAAUAUUUAGGACACGGGGACGCCUGGGUGGCUCAGGGGUUUGGCAUCUGCCUU